rnacentral:misc_RNA from 1 species
UCUCCGUUGGUGAACCAGCGGAGGGAUCAUUAUCGAGUUUAUAACUCCCAAACCCUAUGUGAACUUACCACUUGUUGCUUCGGCGCGCGCUUCGGCGCCGCCGAGGACACUUAAACUCUUUGUUUUUAUAAGCAUUUCUGAGUGGCCGAAAGGCAAAAUACAAAUGAAUCAAAACUUUCAACAACGGGUCUCUUGGUUCUG